rnacentral:rRNA from 1 species
UGGGGAAUUUUGCACAAUGGGGGAAACCCUGAUGCAGCGACGCCGCGUGAUUUAGAAGGCCUUCGGGUUGUAAAAAUCUUUUGUAUGGGAAGAAAAUGACAGUACCAUACGAAUAAGGACCGGCUAAUUACGUGCCAGCAGCCGCGGUAAUACGUAAGGUCCGAGCGUUGUCCGGAAUCAUUGGGCGUAAAGGGUACGUAGGCGGAUAAGCAAGUUAGAAGUGAAAUCCUAUAGCUCAACUAUAGUAAGCUUUUAAAACUGCUCAUCUUGAGGUAUGGAAGGGAAAGUGGAAUUCCUAGUGUAGCGGUGAGAUGCGCAGAUAUUAGGAGGAAUACCGGUGGCGAAGGCGACUUUCUGGCCAUAUACUGACGCUGAGGUACGAAAGCGUGGGUAGCAAACAGG